CCUACGGGUGGCUGCAGUGAGGAAUAUUGGUCAAUGGACGAGAGUCUGAACCAGCCAAGUAGCGUGAAGGAUGACGGCCCUAUGGGUUGUAAACUUCUUUUAUAUGGGAAUAAAAUGUUCCACGUGUGGGAUUUUGUAUGUACCAUAUGAAUAAGGAUCGGCUAACUCCGUGCCAGCAGCCGCGGUAAUACGGAGGCUCCGAGCGUUAUCCGGAUUUAUUGGGUUUAAAGGGAGCGUAGGUGGAUUGUUAAGGCAGUUGUGAAAGUUUGCGGCUUAACCGUAAAAUUGCAGUUGAAACUGGCAGUCUUGAGUACAGUAGAGGUGGGCGGAAUUCGUGGUGUAGCGGUGAAAUGCUUAGAUAUCACGAAGAACUCCGAUUGCGAAGGCAGUUCACUGGACUGCAACUGACACUGAGGCUCGAAAGUGUGGGUAUCAAACAGGAUUAGAUACCCUUGUAGUC
rnacentral:rRNA from 1 species